GGGCCGUUAGCUCAGUGGUAGAGCAGUUGACUUUUAAUCAAUUGGUCGCAGGUUCGAGACCUGCACGACUCA
rnacentral:tRNA from 1 species